GUUGUAUUUUACACUGCUAGAGUCUGUAUAGCCUGUGAAACUGGCGGUCUCUGUUUUGUUGGUUUUCCCGUGUUUUCUUUAUUUAAGAAAUUAAUAUGAUGAGCACGCAACCUGCUGCGCCUAGGUCCUCUCUCUCUCUCUCUCCUACGACAACUGUGACAGACCUAUAAACAUCUGAAGGGGGACAAGCUCUUGAGCGCUGGCCAUCUAGAUCUGACGUCAAUCACAAGGGGCUCAUCUUCCACAAUCUCCUUUCUUCUUAAUGAGAAGGUAGUCUUCACUGCUGCAUCAACAGUUACCCAAUCAGGACUUAUUUUCUGAAUCUCUUCUUGAAUAUAAUCAUUUUUGAUAAAUGACUUCUCAAAUGAGAAAAGUACUGCUUAACAUUACAGGGCUCAGAAAUUACAGAUGUCACAUUUUAUACAAGCAGUAACUUUCUUUAACAUUUCGGUGUUGAGUCAAAUGCUUCGAUUGCUAUUUCUGUUUUAAAGGUGCACAGUCUUGAUGGAUACAUGGUACUGGACAGGUUAUUGCAUAAUGUCCAUGCUUCAAUUUGUAAUGUCUAAUAAGGAUGUGUUGAUUUGAUGUGUUAAGUCUGCAGUACUUACAGUUCCACUUCAUCCAUUGAAGCAAUAAUGCUU
rnacentral:lncRNA from 1 species